rnacentral:rRNA from 1 species
UACGGAGGGUGCGAGCGUUGUCCGGAUUUAUUGGGUUUAAAGGGUGCGUAGGCGGCCUGGUAAGUCGGCGGUGAAAGCCCGGGGCUCAACCCCGGAACUGCCAUCGAUACUGUCAGGCUUGAGUACGGGUGAGGCUGGCGGAAUGGGCGGUGUAGCGGUGAAAUGCAUAGAUACCGUCCAGAACCCCGAUUGCGAAGGCAGCUGGCUAAGCCGUAACUGACGCUGAGGCACGGAAAGCGUGGGGAGCGAACAGG